GAUCCUGGCUCAGGACGAACGCUGGCGGCGCGCCUAACACAUGCAAGUCGAACGAGAGAGAAGGAGCUUGCUUCUUCGAUCGAGUGGCGAACGGGUGAGUAACGCGUGAGGAACCUGCCUCAAAGAGGGGGACAACAGUUGGAAACGACUGCUAAUACCGCAUAAGCCCACGGGUCGGCAUCGACCUGAGGGAAAAGGAGCAAUCCGCUUUGAGAUGGCCUCGCGUCCGAUCAG
rnacentral:rRNA from 1 species